UAGCCAUAUCAUGUUGAAACACUGGUUCCCGUAUGAUUACUGAAGUUAAGCAAUAUUGAGCAUGGUCAGUACCUAGAUGGGUAACCACUUGGGAAUAUGAGAUGCUGUAA